AUUCAGCCUGGCCCACGCCUUUUUUUUUUUUUUUUUUGUGCAGAAUUCGUUUGUAAAAUGAUGAACUCUCACUUCCUAAAUUUCCUGCAGGUGCUCCCGGUGCUGGGGAAAUGUCACUGUGAGAAGAAUAGAAAACUUAUUCCAAAGAGUAUUGAAGACUGACUGAAUCAGGUCUGGAACAUUAUUGAAACGGUAAGAUAAACUCAAGUCCUUUCUGAUAAAAGAAAAAUUCUUUUUUAAAAAAUGUAGUCCCUUCUG
rnacentral:lncRNA from 1 species